AGUCGAGCGAGAAUCCUGUGAUUGAUCCUUCGGGUGAAGUCACAGGAGGACAGCGGCAAACGGGGUAGUUAGGCGCAGGUUACGUACCCUCUGGUUGGGGAUAGCCACGGGAAACUGUGGGUAAUACCCAAUGAUCCGUCGUGUUGUAAUGACGUGGCGGCAAAGGUGAGAUUCCGCCGGAGGAGCGGUCUGCGUGGUAUUAGCUUGUUGGUGAGGUAAUGGCUCACCAAGGCGAAGAUGCCUAGGGGGUGUGAGAGCAUGGCCCCCACCACUGGGACUGAGACACUGCCCAGACACCUACGGGUGGCUGCAGUCGAGAAUCUUUGGCAAUGCACGCAAGUGUGACCAAGCGACGCCGAGUGCUGGAUGAAGGCCUUCGGGUUGUAAACAGCUGUCAGAGGGGAUGAAAUUGUUGGGGGCUAUCCCCCUUCAUUGACAGAGCCUCAGAGGAAGCGCGGGCUAAGUUCGUGCCAGCAGCCGCGGUAAUACGAACUGCGCGAACGUUAUUCGGAAUCACUGGGCUUAAAGGGUGCGUAGGCGGCCUGUUAAGUAGGGUGUGAAAUUUGUCGGCUCAACCGGCAAACUGCAUUCUAAACUGGCAGGCUUGAGUGAGUCAGGGGUGUGCGGAACUUCCGGUGGAGCGGUGAAAUGCGUUGAUAUCGGAAGGAACGCCGGUGGCGAAAGCGGCACACUGGGGCUUUUCUGACGCUGAGGCACGAAAGCUAGGGGAGCGAACAGGAUUAGAUACCCUGGUAGUCCUAGCUGUAAACGAUGAAUACUGGGUUGGGGGAGCAUGUCUCUCCCAGCCGUAGCGAAAGCGUU
rnacentral:rRNA from 1 species